CCCAGGGCCUGGGGCCGCUGGGGUGUGGGAGGGCGGGGAGAGAGCGUGCGCCCUGCACAGUGAGGUCGUGGCGCCCGGCACCUGCCACCUGUGACUGGGAUGAAGGGCUCGAUCAGAACCUGUCUGCCGGUUUCCCCGUGCGACGAUUAACCACCACCCCCUCCAUAACCCGUGUGUUUUCCAGAUGGAGAAACUGAGUCCCAGAGGGGUUAAAUGACCUCAGCAAGGCCAUCUAGCUAAUGAGAGGUGAAUCUAGGAUUCCAGAGCUCUUGCUCUUAAAUGCUACGCUGAAUGAGAGGAUGCGCUGGAAGAUUUUUGACCAAUUGUGUGAACAGUAAGAAGCACAACUGUGGCCUUUGUGGCUUCCUUUUUAGAGAUGGAAUUUCGCUGUGUUGCCCAGGCUGGCAGCAUAUUGGCCCUCCCCACCUCAGCCUCCUGAGUAGCUGGGACUGGGUGCAUGCCAUUACACCCAUCUAGCACAGCUGUGUUUUGUGCUCUUGGCUGAGAGGUUCUUAGGACCCACUAGCCCUAUUGUCUCUUCGUUCCUCUCCCCAAUCCGCCUUCGUCAUGUGAGCCUUUGCAGCAGCCACCUGAUCUCAGAGUUCUCUUCUUCCCUCUCUUCAGACAUUUUGCAGACAUCCUCCUCCCCUCCUCUAACACAGAGACAACCUGUCUGGUAAAGCCUCUCAAACCCAGCCAGAAUCAUCUGGAAGAGUUUAGCGGGCUGGCAGCAAGGCCAGUCUGAAAUGGACUUAGCUAGAUUCCGCCCGAGGCCCUCCCAUUAGCUGCGCAAUGCAGCCUCUGCCCAAAGUGCAAAGCAGAAUGCUGCUGGAGCUGCUCAUGAAACCACCUUACUGUGGCCACCAGAUUGUCCCCAUUUGCUUUGGAAAGCAAUGCCAUUGUGAAAUAUGGCAUCUCCUGUAGUUCUGCAUCGGAAGCAGAGAGGGCAUACACGGACUCCCUCCCCAUUCCAGCAGGCAUGUUCUCAACACCCCUGCACCUGGGCCUCUGGCCAGGGGCCUCCAUAGCCGCCUUCAGGAGUGAGUGCACUGCGGUCUGAGCACCUGGAUGUAGCCCUCCACCCUUACCCUGUGCCUCCCUAAAGCCUCGUGUGUCAAAUGAAGUCAUCAUUAUCCCUACCUCGUGAGAUGUCACAAGAAUAAAUAAUUUAAUAUAUGCAAGGUGCUUGGCACCGAGUGUUAUAAAACUUGAUGAUGAUGAUAGUUUGCUAUCAUCAUCAUCAUCAUCACCAUCAUCACUACCACCAUUCAGUACAUAGUUUCCCACCUUUGCACUUUUAAAAAAGGAAAACCCAUUGCCAUAUGUAAUAUGAUUUCUUUACCACUUUGUUGAAACCAACUUUAAAUAAACUCACUUUUAAAACGUAGCCUCGGCUGGGUGCGAUGGCUCAUACCUGUAAUCCCAACACUUUGGGAGGCCGAGGCAGGUGGAUCAUUUGAGACCAGGAGUUCAAGACCAGCCUGAUCAACAUG
rnacentral:lncRNA from 10 species